CCUUGGCUCUGUGACAGGGUGGGCAGGGUGCGUGAGGGCGGGGCUUGCUUCCAGCUCAGCUUUUGUAAAUCACAUGCAAAUCCUUCUGCCCAGAAGGUGUACCUGCUAGACCCCACGUGACAGCACCUGUCCCUGGUCUGGCCUACAGUGGGGUGGAGCUGUAAAGGGGGGGGGAACCCCACAAGUGUAGGACUGUGGAUGCCUCCUGGGAGUGGAAGUUGAGGCCUGGAGGGACCUUCACAGGCUCCAGAAGGGCUGGAAGGAAGGGCCUUUGCCUUCUAUCUUUAAGCCGCUUAGGGAUUCCUCCUGACCUCUGACUCCAUAGGCAGGUGGCAUGAGGGCCCAGGUGCUACACACCUGAGCAUUAGUGAGCAAACUCCUUGAGUUCUCUGGCUGUCAUUCCACCAUAGGUCUCAGGGCCCCCGAUCCAAGGAGGAGUUCCAGGAAGUUUUGUCACUCUUCCAGGGCCCCCAACCCUAACUACCCUCUUCCCUCCAGGAGCUUCCUUCUGGCAUGUGGAGAACUUGGGGGGAGUGGUGGGGGUUGGGGGUCCCCAGUCAAUUCUCUCUUUGGUCUAGGUCAGAGUCCUGCCUCUCAGGUCCCAGAAACUGUCCACCCUAAGGCCAUAUUUGCCUCCCCAAGCCUGUAGUCUUUGGCAGCCCUGAGUGCUGAGCUCUCAGAAGCUAGGAGUUUGUCAUCUCCAUUCUGCCUGUGAGGCCAGUUAGCAAUGAGGGGCACCCUCAGAGAGAAGGCAAACUUGCCUGUCAGGAACAAGGACUGUCCUGUUCCCAUCUUCCUCGGCCCCCCGGGGGGCAGGGGGGACCUUUGGGACAGGGUCUUCACCUGGGUCAGAGUGAAGGACUGAAGGAGAAAUGGAUGUCCCGUGGCUGAGACACAGCCUGGAGCAGCGGGCAUUUUCCCUGCGUGUCUGUCUGUCCACCACCUGCAUGCUCAGUGCCCUUGGAGGCCAGAAGAGGACAUCGUACCUCUGAGAUCUAGAGUUUUGGAUGGUCAUAAGCUGCCAAGUAGGUGCUGGGAAUUGAACCCAGGUCUUCUGGAAGAGAGAAUGGUAUCCUUACAGUGACCAGUAUACUUCCCACUGAGCCAUCUCUCAAGCCCCUGGAUUUUCAAUUUGAAAGUCUCACACUAAGCUUCCCAGGGUGGCUUUGAACUCAUUCUGUAGCCCAGGCAAGCCUUGAGCUCUCAGUUCUGCUUCAGAUGCCUGAGUAACUGGGCGCUGAACCACACACCCCUAGGCCUUCCUUGGAUUUGUUGUUGUGCCGAGACGAGGUCUCUCUAGCUCUCCCUACCUGUCUAACUUUCUCUGUAGAUCAGGCUGCUCUUGAAUUCAUGGAGAUCCACCUGCCUCUGCUUCCCAAAUGCUGGAACCAGAGGCAGGUGCCGACUCACUCAUCUCUGUCAUAAAUUAUUAUUAUUUAUUUUUAAAUACAUGCUUGUAACCCAGCACCAAGGAGGCAGAAGAAGGAAGAGCAGGAUUCAGUUAUUCUCAGCUACGUAUAGUAAGUAUGAAGCCAGCCUGAGCUACAAGACUGUCACAACAAAUGAACAAACCAAAAGCAAAGCAAGUAAUUAUUGUACCAGCACAAUUAAUGAUAAUAUUAUUAAUGUUUUGAGACACUUUGAUCUGACUCUGGAGCUCCAGACAGCAGAGUUUGCCCUGGCUAGCAAACUUGUGGCAAUCCUCCUGCCUCACCCUCUCAACUGAUGGGAUUACACUUCAAGGGGAGACGAUCAUAGCCGGGGAAGAUAAAUGCCAUUGUUAUGCUGCCCUUACUUUCCUCAUGAUUUCUCUUAGAAUUGUGUUUGCCUCCGAUAAUGCCUGCCACUGGUUUCAUCAGAUCAGAGAGGCAGCAGCGCCCUCUGGUGUCCAAAGCUCAGACCCACAAAGGGGAGAACAAGAGAAGAGGCCCCGAGGAAGGGCAGAGUCAUAUGACUCUGCCCUAGAGUGCCAGACCAAACGCUGGGAUAGUAUGCCAGACAUUGCAGUCCCGUUCUGGGAAGCUAGGCUGUUAGGAGCCUAUGGAGAUGCUGUCGCAGAUUAGACUAAAAUCAGGAUCUGUAUUGGCCAGAGCCAGCCCGGACAGAGGAGAUAAAGUUGUUUCCAAAAUCUUUUCCAGAAAGUUCUGAAGCACUAAUCAUCCUUCCACAGGAUGGAGGGAAUAAUCCUUUCCAUAAACCAUGGUGGAGGACUCUGUCUGGCUUUAGAAAGGCAUUUUGGAAGGAUGUUUUCCAUCCAAAGGGGGGUCCCCCUUCCUGGAGGGGGACAGCCAGGUCAGCACAAGGGUAGCAAGACAUCUUGGGUUCCCUUCCUUGGGCUGCUUCUGUUCCUAAGGCAACUGCCAUACUGGCCCCUGGCACCAGCACUGCUGGAAACUCCAGGAUUUUUCUGACUGAGGACAGGUGGGAAGGGCACUUUGUUGAGCACUUACUACGUGCUGGAUAGUUUUUAAAUUAUCAUUUGAUCAUAAUUCUAGAUCAUCUAGAUGUCUUUGGAUGUUGAGGUUGAUGGACAGAAUUGCUCAAACCUGUGCUUCCUCCAGCCCCACAAUAGGCCUCUGACAGAGCUGUGGAAGCCAGAGCCCCCACUAGCUUGGUUUGGUUGGCAGAGAGAAACCAUGAGCAGGAGAUGGUGGCCUCCUGUCUGCCCACCCCACCCCCAUUUAUCACAUGGUAGCCAUUCGAGCUCACAGCCUGUUGGAAAUUGGGAGGGAGUCUCUGGUUCCUGAGGUCUCAGGCCCUCGGGUAGGAAACAGAGAAGGGUCAGGAAGGUGGGUAGCAAGGAGACUUUAGAGUCCUCUCUGAACUUGCUUUGUAAGAUGUGGUUUGACACGGGCCCUUUGAGAGGCAGCUCAGGGCACUGGUGCUAGGCUGGGGCAUCAUGCACUGUGAGGCAAUUCUCCACCAGCAGCAAGAGCUGCCAACAAAACUAGGGUCAGCUUGUGGGUGUGAGAAACAAGAGAUGCCGGCGGUUGGGGGGGGGUUGUUGAGGACUCCACUUCAAUUCCUAGCACUCGAGCAGGAGACUCACAGGCGUCUGCUGCUUCCUGGGCCUUCUACGCUUCUGGCCUCCAUGGAGGGCACUGCACUUGAGUGUAUAAACCUGUAGAUACACUCACAUACAUGUAAUUAAAAAUAAGGUAAAUCUUGAAAAAAAAGUAAAAAUCUACCUCUUUCCUCAAGGGAGAUAAGAAAUCAUUUAUUCCAGCCUGGGAACAGAGACUUAGGCUCCCCCAAGUUCCAUGUUCCAUUGUGGCAGGAAGUCUCGUGAAGUUUUAAAUGUAGAACUAAGAAAGUCAUAAGUCAACACUUUUCACAUCAUUGGAGAGUGCAUAAGAUAGGUGGUGGACUGGAGAGAUGACUCAGUGGGUAAGAGCACUGACUGCUCUUCCAGAUUACUUGAGUUCAAUACCCAGCAACCACAUGGUGGCUCACAACCUUCUAUAAUGGGAUCUGAUGCCCUCUUCUGGUGUGUCUGAAGAGAGCAAUGGUGUACUCAUAUACAUAAAAUAAAUAAAUACAUCUUUUUAAAAAAGGUAGGUGGUUACAGCAAAUUGGGGACACCUUUGCUACAAGCUUCAGAUGCUGUCUGAUGGCAUUCUUAGUGUUUGGAUUGGGGGAAGGUAGGGAGGGGUCUGCUCACCAUUCCAAAAGGACUUAGAUAAUAGUUAUGUCAGGGCACACACACGUGGGGGUGGGCAGUAAAUGGCUAUUCAACUGAAAGGCUCCAGAAGGCCGAGAUGAAGUGUACUUACGCUUUGGGCACGCAACAAUCCAGCCUUUUAUUUCCAAACGUUUACAUCCUAAUCAACUUGCUGUUGUAGCUGCAGCUUCUUUCCGAGGACUUGUUCACAGUGCCAACUCUGAAAAUGACCAGAAGUGCCACUGUAGCACAAGCCCUUGCACUCUGCACCUCAGCCUACCUUCUUGGUGAGCUAGAGCAGAGCAUGUGAGGAUUCAGUGGGCACAAGCACCCGGAGCGACCAGCAGAGGGCAGGCACCUGCACAGAGGAUUCGGCAGCCGCUCAAGGGGAAUCAAGAGGCAGCUAGACUCUGGGUAUCUUCAAGAUUUUGGAAUUUAAUCCCCCUGAAUAAACUCUCUAUGAAAGGC